rnacentral:lncRNA from 1 species
UUGGAGAUAAUUAGUAAAUUUGUGCUCAUGAAUUGCCACGAGUACUAAUUUUUGUGCUAUAGGACAUCAUUGAGUGCUCCCGCCGCAAGUCACAAAUGCUCUAGGGAUACAAAGAUUUAUGCUCCAUGCGCAGGCGAUGGAGCUGGAGCUUGCCAAAGAGAAAGAGUACUCCUCGCGGUUGCUUAUGAAGUUUGAUGGGACAGCCACUAAGUACCGCUAUCGCAUUCAGGAGCUUAUGGAGCAAAAGGAUCAUCUUGUUGGGCGAAAAGGAUCCU